rnacentral:rRNA from 1 species
UACGUAGGGUGCGAGCGUUAAUCGGAAUACUGGGCGUAAAGCGUGCGCAGGCGGUUGUUAAGACAGAUGUGAAAUCCCGGGCUUAACCUGGGAACUGCAUUGUGACUGGCGAGCUAGAGUAUGGCAGAGGGGGUAGAAUUCCACGUGUGAGCAGUGAAUGCGUAGAGAUGUGGAGGAAUACCGAUGGCGAAGGCAGCCCCUGGGCCAAUACUGACGCUCAUGCACGAAAGCGUGGG